UACGUAGGGUGCGAGCGUUGUCCGGAAUUAUUGGGCGUAAAGAGCUUGUAGGCGGUCUGUCGCGUCUGCUGUCGAAAAUCCGGGGCUCAACCCCGGACUUGCAGUGGGUACGGGCAGACUAGAGUGUGGUAGGGGAGACUGGAAGUUCCGUGGUGAUAGCGGUGAAAUGCGCAGAUAUCGAGGAGGAACACCGAGUGGCGAAGGCAGGUCUCUGGGC
rnacentral:rRNA from 1 species